ensembl:snoRNA SNORA63 Small nucleolar RNA SNORA63
AUGUGGGUACUAUUACAAUAUAAUUGAAGUGUUUUAUUGUUGUUCCCCCUGCUUAAAGCCUUUGAUACAUAACUAUCUCUGUCUAACUUCAUUUCAUAGUAAGACAGGGAUUUUUAGUCUCAAGCAU